AACACUGUCCAGCCAAUGUUAAUGAGGACUGAUGUAGGAAUCAAAAUUGGAACGUCAAGGUAUACAUUGUAUCAUUCCUUCUUAUAAAUACAUCUGUUGUGUCUUUGUUGAUGAACGGUCAUUAGCUGAGUGGUGUCUUCCCCCACUCAUUGACCAUGUUCCUUAUUUCCUCCUGGACAUCUUCUAAGUGACGGGUCUGUUGGGUCCACCUCAGAAAAAAGCCUGUAAAAAGCCACAAACUCAAGGGGAUAUAGAAUAAUUUAAAAAGAAACAUAGGGUAUGAACUAGUACUGAACUACUGAAAUGCAAAACUUUGUUUUUCACCCGAUGUUAGCAGGGAACUUCAUGGUUCAUGGAGGAUGAUGUAAGACAUUAUGAUGGAUGGAUGAAAUUGUACAAUUAUUGAUUUGUGGAAACAAUGGCUUGUUUUGUUUUCAGAGAGCUACUUGCUAGUUUCCCUCACCAGACCUGACAACACUGAUGCAUCAUCAUCAUCAAACAAGUUGCGGUAUUUUCACAGUCUCUUCCAGCUGCUGUAACAUGAUUUGGAUUCAAACCCGCCACCCAUCAUGCGGGCCUGCUGUGCCUGCUGAGCAUCAAUGUUUCUGAGGAGCACCAGAAGUUGCCGAGGGCUGUCCUCCUGCCGGUCCGAGAAGAGCAGGUGGUGGCCGGUGACACACAGGGUGCCUCUGCUAGGUGGGUGCAGAGGCUGCUGGAGCACAACAUCUUCUACAUUGGCAGUCUUGAUAUGCUCAGAAAACUCCAUUCACCCCAAAUCA